UACACACCGCCCGUCGCACCUACGGAUUGAAUGGUCCGGUGAGGACUCCGGAUUGUGGUGUGGCUCCUUCAUCGGGGCCUGACCGCGAGAACUUGUCCGAACCUUAUCAUUUAGAGGAAGGUGAAGUCGUAACAAGGUUUCCG
rnacentral:rRNA from 1 species